rnacentral:rRNA from 1 species
CACCGCGGUUAUACGAGAGGCCCAAGUUGAUAAAUGCCGGCGUAAAAUGUGGUUAUAUAGAAUUAAACUAAAGCUAAACAUCUUCAAAGCUGUUAUACGCACCCGAAGACAGGAAGCACUUCCACGAAAGUGGCUUUAUAUACUAUCACCCCACGAAAGCUAGGACA